GACUUAUUUCCGGUGAAGUAAUGAAAUCUCCUUUUUCUCCUAGCAUGUCAUGAUACACGUAAUAUCCCUGAGUAAAAAGAGAAAGUGGAGAAAAUGGAUUAACUUUCAAGUGACCUGGGCUCCGGUCUACACAGGAAGUAACGAAUGUUACAAAAUAGGACUGACUCAGCUUCCUGACCCCAACUGGCCUCCACCUGCUCCCAUUCGUUCCUCGGAACUCAAAGGAUGAAAUGCCUUCACCUUCUGCUCUUACCCAAACCUAAUCCCACCACCUGUGCUCUGGACCACUGCCUCUCCUCACACAGCCCUCAUAGGCCAGGAUCUUGUUAUCAUCCCCUUCUCUUAUAGCUUUAACUUCCCUCUCUCAGCAGCAGAAAUAUAUUUGAGUCACUCUCAACUUAAAAAAAAACAAACAGAAAACAACUUUUCACUUCAUACAGCAUCUCCCCC